rnacentral:snoRNA from 1 species
ACCCUUUGGUGGUUCAGAAACUGAUGACUGGAUAUUUGUACAUCUAUGUGGCAUGUUUCUCCCUCGCAUCUUGGUUAACAGUGUUGCCACAUAACCUGCCAGAUG